CCCAGCGCCUUCCUGGGAAACUGAAAGCAAGAAUUCUGCUCCCUGAGCCCCACACCCACUCAUAGAGCCAGAGGAUCAGGCUCUGUUGGGGGCUGGGUGGGGCUGGAGCACAGGCUUGGAGCCGGUCUGACCUGGGUUCCAAUCCCAACUUGGCCCCUAUGAGCUGUGUGACCUUGGGAAGACCUUGGGCAAAUGACCGCGCAUCCUAAGCCUUCUUCAUCUUCAAAGUGGGAUAAUCACAGCACCUGUACUGGGUGUUGAGGAGAUGGAAGGAGAUGCUGUCUGCAGAGGGUUGAGUGCAGGGCCCGGCACACAGGGAGCGCUUGGAGAUCAUCUAAAGCAGAAGAGAAAGCUGCAUGAAAGUGUACUGAGAGCCAGUUACUACAGGCGGACGCCACGCCAGGCUAGGACUAGGGCCGCCGGCAGAGCCUGCACUCUCCACUCACUCCCACCCUUGGGGCAGACGCCGAAUUAUGGAACAUUCUGUAUAAAGGAAAACUGUCUUAUUCUAAGGAUGACAAACAAAAUAAACAUAUUUAAAUAUUAAGUUAGAGGCAAC
rnacentral:lncRNA from 10 species